UCGAUCUUCAAAACUCCUUCA
rnacentral:piRNA from 1 species